UACGAGGGGGCAAGCGUUGUUCGGAAUUAUUGGGCGUAAAGAGCUCGUAGGUGGCCUGUCGCGUCGGCUGUGAAAACUCGGGGCUCAACUCCGAGCUUGCAGUCGAUACGGGCAGGCUAGAGUUCGGCAGGGGAGACUGGAAUUCCUGGUGUAGCGGUGAAAUGCGCAGAUAUCAGGAGGAACAUCCAGGUGGCGAAAGGCGGAC
rnacentral:rRNA from 1 species